AUCAACUAGACGGUGUCGCUGUGAGUUUAACACGGAACCACAAAACGAGUUUCUUUUGGCCAGAAAAUCUCGUGCCACCAGAAACGGACCCAAUAUCGCAAACUCGAAAUGCAUCUGUCCCAAACUUACCGAUACGGUUUUAAAUUGACAUUUUAUCAGACUGGUUCGUCAAUUAUUCGUAAAACUAACGAAGAACGUGGAGUAGCAGCAUGUGCUUUAUUAUUAGCAACAACUGGAUUAUCAUUGAGCAUGUUUUCACUUAAACAAAUGCUAUCAUGCUCCCAGACACGUCGAAGAAGAUUAAUGUAAUAAUUAAUUAAUUGAUCAACGAUCGUAACCAACACACAAAAACGAGAGAAGUGACGAAGAAUAAAAGUAGUAGAAGAAAAUUUAAGUGAGAGCAGUUAUUGGACAUUGAUGAUAGAAACAAAAAGAAAAAAAGAGCAAAUAAUUCGAGUUAUUCGAAUAUGUGUUCGUGUGAAUUCGAUUUAGAAAAUACAAAUAAAUAAUACGAAGUUGCAA